CCACACUUCAAAAACCCCAAUUGAACACUAAAUAAAGGAUUUCAUUAUAUUUGCAAUUUCUAGCAAGUUUUACAGCACAAUAUUUUCAUGGAUUCUCAGAAUCCUAUCAAACUCCAUUUCCAUAAACAAACAAUCUGCAUAUAGUUUGCAAAAAGUGAGAUGGGCUUGGCCAGAUUCAGUAACAAACACGCAAGCACUCCAAAACACCUAUAGCUCCCAAGCACGCAAGUUCUUGCCUAUCUCGAAGGCCACGUAAGCAUCAACACAAGCCUGCAAAAUCUACUCAUAAGAGAGAUCCUCAUCACCCCAAUCACUCAUGCUGAUAUGCUUCUCCAAUCUCACCCCCUCAUAGCCCAAACACUCCUCCAAAAUCCUCUCUAAUGAAGCCCUAGCAAGGCUCUCUCCAUAAUCAGUCGAUACAUAUCUCCUCAAAUCUAAAAGCCUGUCAAUCCUCAACUCAUGUUCCGACAUCCACAACUUCUUCCUGUCCAAGCUAUUCCAAACCCCAACAAAAGUGUUGUCGGGGUACAGGAGAAAUCGACGAAGAAUACUCGGAACGGUAGUGGCCACAGAGAGUUGGAAGAUCAAGCAGCGAGUGCCCACGCAAAGCUGAAGAGUGUCAGCGGGAGUUUCUUCACCGUUCCACGGACUCCACUGGACGGCGACACCGACGACGAGGCGGCCAAUAUAGUAUCGGCGGAGGAAGAGAGUGGUGCGGAGCCAUUUCCGUACAACGGAGGCGGAGGAAGUUACAUUGACGUCGAUGGGAGUGCCGAAGAAGUCAACUACAUAUGAGCUGUGAUUAUAAGGGCAUCCGGUGAUGGUGAUUUCCGGCGUCAUUGUUGUUCAGUGUUUGUUUGAGCAAAUGGAUUGGGGUUACGGA
rnacentral:misc_RNA from 1 species